UCUUCUCCUCUCCUUCUCCUAUUCCUCCCCUUCUUCAUCUUUUCAUUCUUCCUUGAGCCUCCUGGCCCACUAGGGCCCUUGUAUCUUGCAUCACCUCUGCCCUCUCAAGGCAUGCAAUAUCCUGUAUCUCAUUCUUCCUUUAGUUCAGCUGCCUUCUCUUCACAUGGUGGUCUAUCUUGGGCUGUCUGCUCAGACCACAUCUCACCCAAUUUCCUUGCUACAUUCCCAGUGGACAAGCCCGGUGAUUCACUCUUGAUCUUUGGACAAUAUUCAGAAUGAAGCAGGAAGAAAGCAAGCGGUAGUCUUUUGCAUGAAGGUCCUCUCCAAGAACUCAGCAAAGCUGACUGGAAUCCAGGCAUUUCUUUCUGUUCUCUUGGAAGUCUGCAGGAAGACAGCUCCUGGGCCUUUUCUUCCUCCAGCCAACCCAGUCUCCUUCACCCAAGGUGACCCAUGGCGUGCGGGGAGAAGGGGGGCUCUAUCUGAGUGGGCUUUUUCCUGAGUCCAAACCAGAUGCUUCCUUCUCCAUACGAUUGUCAGCUGGCUUCACUUUUCAUAUUAUUUUAAGCUUUAAUUAUUUUUCUCUCCUUGUGGAGCAACAAUUGUGGUAAUAAAACCAGA